CGGAAUUGCUGAAGUUGUGAAGGUUGAUGCUGUGAAUGCGCUCGGUCAUCCCCUUGCAACUGAUGUCACCUGCAGCAUGUCAACGCAGACACAAAACAGGGCAUGGGUCAGAUCUAGCUGGUUGCAUUCCUAACACCUAGGUUUCAGAGUAAAAAUACAGAGUCAGCUUGUGAUGGCAUUCCCUCAAAACAUGGAAGGAAUUGCAGUAAUGAAAGUCAUCAUGUAUUCUAAGAGACUGUUCUGCGAGAGCACAACACAGACGGGGCUAAAGCAGGGUGAGAAGCAAAAGUGCUCAGGAGUUAAGAGAAGCAGACGUCCGAAAUUAUCUCCAUGCAUUACCAAAAACCGUGGGCACCACGGCACGGGGAAAACUUACCAGGUACAAUGAGCCAGUGACUGUUACUGAAUUUCUUAAGAUUACACUUUUCCCAACUACUGCAGACUGCUUCAGAAUAGAAGAAGACAACUCUCAUGCCAUCAAGCCGACGGACUUUCAAAAAAAUAAAAGAUGCAUUUCUUUACUUGGCCCAUGAGAAGUAAAAGCAGGCACUGGCAUUCUGCACAGAUGAAAUACUUCCUACGACAGGAAUACAUGCUCACUUGUGGACUUCUCUGUAAUCUGUAGGCAACAUCAGCUCCUGAUUUCUAGGUCUGGAUCUGGGUUCUCUGUAGCACAGGAAGCAUAGUUACUCUGUGAUGAAGAAAAACUCAGAAAACUAUCCAGAUGUGGGAAUUUCUCGGGUAUUCCUUGCACUUGAACUUAAGGAUGAAUGAAGGUAUAUACAAGUCUCUACUUCUCCUACAUAAAUGCCUUGCAUGGCGGGAACUAAAUCAACUACACAGACCCAUACAUCCAGAGAGCAGAGGUGAGCUGGAUACAAGUGGCUUAGAGAUGUGGUGGAAGGAGGCCAGAGCUCCAAGGGAAGGGCAGCAAGGAGACAACAGCAUGGGUUGCAGCUCAGACAACAGGUAAAUAAAACCAAGCAAAGCUGCUGGUCACAGAUUUGACCAGGGUGGCAAGAAAUGACAAGCUACCAUGAGAUUCAACAGUGGCACGGAAGGAUGAUGAGAAGCAAACAGAUUAGGAGAAGCUGCCACCACCGUACAUAGAGGCACAGAUGACCAAGCAGAACAGCACCAGUCCCUGCAAGGUGUGCUCAGAUACAGCUCAGCACAGCCAUCUGGCCAGGAGGGAAUGAUAAUGCACAUGGUGUGCACUGCAGCCGGGAAGUUGAGAACCGCUGUGGGCACCUCAGGACUGAGUCUGGUUACCCUGCUGAUCCAAGAAAUGAAGCCAUCUAAAAUUUUGCCUGCUUUCACAAUUUUCUGUGUGUGUGUGUGUGUAUUAAACAAAGUGAACUAAGAAGCCUUUUAUUGGAGACAUAAUGUACUCACAGUAGUUUCAAAAUCAAUGGUGUCACUCUUCAGGUAAAUUACUCCAAGGCUUGGGCCUAGUGCAGAUGUUCAUUGGGGCAGGGAGCAGAGAGCGGCUGCAUCUAGAUCAGACAAAAAACAAAAAUAAGGUUGUUAAAUGAACAGGUGAUGGUGAUGGCAAUUAUUUAUUUUGAUAGGAAAG
rnacentral:lncRNA from 10 species